ensembl:lncRNA
CGGCUGCAGCCCUCCCAGCUCCCUCAUCACAUUCCACCAUAUUUCUCCAAACAGGAUUUCUUGGCUUCGUGUCAGAUUUAACCAAUAUGUUAGGUUAAAACACAUGCAGUCCUCUGCUUAGAGCCAAUGGACACCUCAGCCAUAACUGCGAACAAUGCCACGACAUUGCUUUCAGCUGAAAUCAAUGAGUGCCUGGCAUUUUCAGCCUUCCAAUGCUUCCUUUUGAAAACAGUUUUGAUGUCCGUUUUCCAGACAGGCCUUUCACACCAGUAUGUCCAUCCUGCCUGCUGCCCAGCCACGGCCAGGUCUCUCUCACGAAGCAUUGCCACCAUGAGACCAUUCAGGGCAGGGCAGCACACAGCAACCAUGCAGCCCAGUCUCCAAUAUUAUGGGCAGCACAGCCCAGCCUGUCUGUUCAAGCUGUUUCAUUCUGUCUGCAGCCGAAAAUCAAAUAACCUGAAAUACAGCCUUUACGGUGAGCCACUGUGGCCCAGGCCCUGCCAAGCUCCACCCUGCACCAAGCACACAUCCACCUUUUGGAGUGAAAUGCCCCACACAAGGCAUCCAGAAGGGACAUCCCCAAGAGAUGACACUGCUGCUGGCCCCACCAUUUCCGCAUGGGCCCAGGUCUGCCAGUGAGGACGAGCCCCUGAUGCCACACGGGAACAGAAUGGCUGCUGCAGGGGUCUGGAGGAAAGGGGACGAGCGUCUGCACUGCUGCUGGCAGCUGCUGGAACACAGGAUGGAUCAGAAAAACGCCAGCCUGAGCACCGCACCAGUGAGCACUCGCGCUCCCCAUCCGGACAGCAGCAGCCCCAGUCGCAGCCCCGUGCCCCGGGACCUGCCCCAGCUCACGGCCCAC